rnacentral:rRNA from 1 species
CCAAGCGUUGUCCGGAUUUAUUGGGCGUAAAGAGCUCGUAGUCGGUUUAGUAAGUCGGGUGUGAAAACUCUGGGCUUAACCCAGAGCCGCCACUCGAUACUGCUCUGACUUGAGUUCGGUAGGGGAGCAGGGAAUUCCUAGUGUAGCGGUGAAAUGCGCAGAUAUUAGGAGGAACACCGGUGGCGAAGGCGCUGCUCUGGGCCGAAACUGACGCUGAGGAGCGAAAGCGUGGGUAGCAAACAGG